AUACCUACGGGGGGCAGCAGUGGGGGAUAUUGCACAAUGGGGGAAACCCUGAUGCAGCGACGCCGCGUGAGUGAAGAAGUAUUUCGGUAUGUAAAGCUCUAUCGGCAGGGAAGAAAAUGACGGUACCUGAGUAAGAAGCCCCGGCUAACUACGUGCCAGCAGCCGCGGGAAUACGUAGGGGGCAAGCGUUAUCCGGAUUUACUGGGUGUAAAGGGAGCGUAGACGGCGAUGCAAGUCUGAAGUGAAAGCCCGGGGUGUAACCCCGGGACUGCUUUGGAAAAUGUAUGGCUGG
rnacentral:rRNA from 1 species